AUACUUACCUGACGAGGACCAUACUGGGAUCAGGCAGCCAGUGGGUCCAGGGCGAGGCUUUGCCAUUGCACAUCGGCUUAGCUGACCCUUGCGAAUA
rnacentral:snRNA from 1 species